rnacentral:rRNA from 1 species
UAGGGAAUCUUCCGCAAUGGACGAAAGUCUGACGGAGCAACGCCGCGUGAGUGAAGAAGGAUUUCGGUUCGUAAAACUCUGUUGUUAGGGAAGAAAAAAUGUAUAGUAACUAUAUACAAAAGAGACGGUACCUAACCUGAAAGCCACGGCUAACUACGUGCCAGCAGCCGCGGUAAUACGUAGGUGGCAAGCGUUGUCCGGAAUUAUUGGGCGUAAAGCGCGCGCAGGUGGUUUAGAAAGUCUGAUGUGAAAGCCCACGGCUCAACCGUGGAGGGUCAUUGGAAACUAAUAAACUUGAGUGCAGGAGAGAAAAGUGGAAUUCCUAGUGUAGCGGUGAAAUGCGUAGAGAUUAGGAGGAACACCGGUGGCGAAAGCGGCUUUUUGGCCUGCAACUGACACUGAGGCGCGAAAGCGUGGGGAGCAAACAGG